rnacentral:rRNA from 2 species
CGGGAGGCAGCAGUAGGGAAUCCUCCACCAUGGACGAAAGUCUGAUGGAGCUAUGCCGCGUGAGUGAAGAAGUGUUUCGGCUCGUAAWACUCUGUUGUUAAAGAAKAACACCUUUGAGAGUAACUGUUCAAGGGUUGACGGUAUUUAACCAGAAAGCCACGGCUAACUACGUGCCAGCAGCCGCGGUAAUACGUAGGUGGCAAGCGUUGUCCGGAUUUAUUGGGCGUAAAGCGAGCGCAGGCGGUUUUUUAAGUCUGAUGUGAAAGCCUUCGGCUUAACCGGAGAAGUGCAUCGGAAACUGGGAGACUUGAGUGCAGAAGAGGACAGUGGAACUCCAUGUGUAGCGGUGGAAUGCGUAGAUAUAUGGAAGAACACCAGUGGCGAAGGCGGCUGUCUAGUCUGUAACUGACGCUGAGGCUCGAAAGCAUGGGUAGCGAACAGGAUUAGAUACCCUGGUAGUCCAUGCCGUAAACGAUGAGUGCUAAGUGUUGGAGGGUUUCCGCCCUUCAGUGCUGCAGCUAACGCAUUAAGCACUCCGC